rnacentral:rRNA from 1 species
AGAGUUUGAUCCUGGCUCAGAAUGAACGCUGGCGGCGUGCCUAACACAUGCAAGUCGUGCGCGAAGGUGGCUUCGGCCACCGGAGAGCGGCGAACGGGUGAGUAACACGUGGGUAAUCUGCCUAGGAGCGGGGGAUAACCUGGGGAAACUCGGGCUAAUACCGCAUACGUCGAUGAGGCUGCGGCCUCAUCAAGAAAGCUGGCCUCUGCUUGCAUGCCAGCACUCCUAGAGGAGCCCGCGGCUGAUUAGCUAGUUGGCGGGGUAAUGGCCCACCAAGGCGACGAUCAGUAGCCGGCCUGAGAGGGUGAUCGGCCACACUGGGACUGAGACACGGCCCAGACUCCUACGGGAGGCAGCAGUGGGGAAUUUUGCGCAAUGGGGGAAACCCUGACGCAGCAACGCCGCGUGGAGGAUGAAGUCCUUCGGGACGUAAACUCCUUUCGAUCGGGACGAUUAUGACGGUACCGGAAGAAGAAGCCCCGGCUAACUUCGUGCCAGCAGCCGCGGUAAUACGAGGGGGGCGAGCGUUGUUCGGAAUUACUGGGUGUAAAGGGUUCGUAGGCGGUGCGGCAAGUUGGGAGUGAAAUCUCUGGGCUCAACCCAGAGGCUGCUUCCAAAACUGCUGUGCUUGAGUGUGGGAGAGGCGCGUGGAAUUGCAGGUGUAGCGGUGAAAUGCGUAGAUAUCUGCAGGAACACCCGUGGCGAAAGCGGCGCGCUGGACCACUACUGACGCUGAGGAACGAAAGCUAGGGGAGCAAACAGGAUUAGAUACCCUGGUAGUCCUAGCCCUAAACGAUCAGGACUUGGGGUGCCACCCGUUCGGGUGUCGUCCCGGAGCUAACGCGUUAAGUCCUGCACCUGGGGAGUACGGUCGCAAGACUGAAACUCAAAGGAAUUGACGG